rnacentral:lncRNA from 1 species
UUAUAAGUAAGUUCAUUUUCUUAGCCUUCUUUCAUCCUGAAAUUAACAAUUCAUUUUCUCAUUGAUAAAAUAUUUUAAAAAUUCCUUCUAUUCUCUAGGUACUUUUCCAGAAAUGGAUCCAGAACUUUACAUAAGACAUAAUUCAUUUCCUCUUGAAACUUUCAGCUAGCACAAAACAGAAAUACAGUCACUUCUCAUAUUCACAAGUCCAGAAUUGGUGGACUCAACCAAAGAUGGAAGGAGAAUAUUGGUAAAAAUGUUGUGUCUGUACUGAAUAUAUACAGAUUUUUUCCCCCUGGACAUUAUUAACUAAACGAUAUAGUUUAACAAUCAUCUAAAGAUGAUUGAAAGCAUUCAGGAAGAUAAGUGUAAUGUUGUUUGCAUUUUAUAUAAAGGAUCUGGGCUGGGUGAGAUGGCACAUACCUGUAAUCCAAGCAGCUUGGGAGGCUGAGACAGGAGGAUCAGGAGUUCAAAACCAGCCUCAGCAAAAGUGAGGUGCUAAGCAACUCAGUGAAACCUUACCUGUAAAUAAAAUACAAAAUAGGGCUGGGGAUGUGG